AACGAACGCUGGCGGCAGGCCUAACACAUGCAAGUCGAACGCUCUCUUCGGAGGGAGUGGCGCACGGGUGAGUAACGCGUGGGAACCUACCCUGGGGUACGGAAUAACAGCGGGAAACUGCUGCUAAUACCGUAUACGCCUUUAGGGGGAAAGAUUUAUCGCCCUGGGAUGGGCCCGCGUCCGAUUAGUUAGUUGGUGGGGUAACGGCCUACCAAGGCUUCGAUCGGUAGCUGGUCUGAGAGGAUGAUCAGCCACACUGGGACUGAGACACGGCCCAGACUCCUACGGGAGGCAGCAGUGGGGAAUCUUGGACAAUGGGGGCAACCCUGAUCCAGCCAUGCCGCGUGAGUGAAGAAGGCCUUAGGGUUGUAAAGCUCUUUCAGUGGUGACGAUGAUGACGGUAGCCACAGAAGAAGCCCCGGCUAACUCCGUGCCAGCAGCCGCGGUAAUU
rnacentral:rRNA from 1 species